UAAGGAAUAUUGGUCAAUGGACGCAAGUCUGAACCAGCCAUGCCGCGUGAAGGAUGAAGGUCCUCUGGAUUGUAAACUUCUUUUAUCUGGGACGAAAACGGGAUUUUUAUCUCAAUUGACGGUACCAGAGGAAUAAGCACCGGCUAACUCCGUGCCAGCAGCCGCGGUAAUACGGAGGGUGCGAGCGUUAUCCGGAUUUACUGGGUUUAAAGGGUGCGUAGGUGGGCUUAUAAGUCAGUGGUGAAAUCUCCGAGCUUAACUUGGAAACUGGCGUUGAUACUAUAGGUCUUGAAUUAUCUGGAGGUAAGCGGAAUAUGUCAUGUAGCGGUGAAAUGCUUAGAUAUGACAUAGAACACCAAUUGCGAAGGCAGCUUACUACAUAUAAAUUGACGCUGAGGCACGAAAGCGUGGGGAUCAAACA
rnacentral:rRNA from 1 species